AGACCCGAAACCCGGUGAUCUAGCCAUGGGCAGGUUGAAGGUUGGGUAACACUAACUGGAGGACCGAACCGACUAAUGUUGAAAAAUUAGCGGAUGACCUGUGGCUGGGGGUGAAAGGCCAAUCAAACCGGGAGAUAGCUGGUUCUCCCCGAAAGCUAUUUAGGUAGCGCCUCGUGAAUUCAUCUCCGGGGGUAGAGCACUGUUUCGGCUAGGGGGCCAUCCCGGCUUACCAACCCGAUGCAAACUGCGAAUACCGGAGAAUGUUAUCACGGGAGACACACGGCGGGUGCUAACGUCCGUCGUGAAGAGGGAAACAACCCAGACCGCCAGCUAAGGUCCCAAAGUCAUGGUUAAGUGGGAAACGAUGUGGGAAGGCCCAGACAGCCAGGAUGUUGGCUUAGAAGCAGCCAUCAUUUAAAGAAAGCGUAAUAGCUCACUGGUCGAGUCGGCCUGCGCGGAAGAUGUAACGGGGCUAAACCAUGCACCGAAGCUGCGGCAGCGAACGUAUCACCCAAGACAACUUUACGGAGUUGACGAUUGACGGAGCGAAGCGACGUCAAAGCGUUCAUUAAAGUCGAGUUGGCUUAGGGAUACGUUCGUUGGGUAGGGGAGCGUUCUGUAAGCCUGUGAAGGUGUGUCGUGAGGCAUGCUGUAGGUAUCAGAAGUGCGAAUGCUGACA
rnacentral:rRNA from 1 species